AGGGUUCGAUUCUGGCUCAGGAUGAACGCUGGCGGCGUGCUUAACACAUGCAAGUCGAACGGGAUCCAUCAGGCUUUGCUUGGUGGUGAGAGUGGCGAACGGGUGAGUAAUGCGUGACCGACCUGCCCCAUACACCGGAAUAGCUCCUGGAAACGGGUGGUAAUGCCGGAUGCUCCAGUUGAUCGCAUGGUCUUCUGGGAAAGCUUUCGCGGUAUGGGAUGGGGUCGCGUCCUAUCAGCUUGACGGCGGGGUAACGGCCCACCGUGGCUUCGACGGGUAGCCGGCCUGAGAGGGCGACCGGCCACAUUGGGACUGAGAUACGGCCCAGACUCCUACGGGAGGCAGCAGUGGGGAAUAUUGCACAAUGGGCGCAAGCCUGAUGCAGCGACGCCGCGUGAGGGAUGGAGGCCUUCGGGUUGUAAACCUCUUUUAUCGGGGAGCAAGCGAGAGUGAGUUUACCCGUUGAAUAAGCACCGGCUAACUACGUGCCAGCAGCCGCGGUAAUACGUAGGGUGCAAGCGUUAUCCGGAAUUAUUGGGCGUAAAGGGCUCGUAGGCGGUUCGUCGCGUCCGGUGUGAAAGUCCAUCGCUUAACGGUGGAUCCGCGCCGGGUACGGGCGGGCUUGAGUGCGGUAGGGGAGACUGGAAUUCCCGGUGUAACGGUGGAAUGUGUAGAUAUCGGGAAGAACACCAAUGGCGAAGGCAGGUCUCUGGGCCGUUACUGACGCUGAGGAGCGAAAGCGUGGGGAGCGAACAGGAUUAGAUACCCUGGUAGUCCACGCCGUAAACGGUGGAUGCUGGAUGUGGGGCCCGUUCCACGGGUUCCGUGUCGGAGCUAACGCGUUAAGCAUCCCGCCUGGGGAGUACGGCCGCAAGGCUAAAACUCAAAGAAAUUGACGGGGGCCCGCACAAGCGGCGGAGCAUGCGGAUUAAUUCGAUGCAACGCGAAGAACCUUACCUGGGCUUGACAUGUUCCCGACGGUCGUAGAGAUACGGCUUCCCUUCGGGGCGGGUUCACAGGUGGUGCAUGGUCGUCGUCAGCUCGUGUCGUGAGAUGUUGGGUUAAGUCCCGCAACGAGCGCAACCCU
rnacentral:rRNA from 1 species